rnacentral:rRNA from 1 species
GAUGAACGCUGGCGGCGUGCCUAAUACAUGCAAGUCGAGCGAACAGACGAGGAGCUUGCUCCUCUGACGUUAGCGGCGGACGGGUGAGUAACACGUGGAUAACCUACCUAUAAGACUGGGAUAACUUCGGGAAACCGGAGCUAAUACCGGAUAAUAUAUUGAACCGCAUGGUUCAAUAGUGAAAGACGGUUUUGCUGUCACUUAUAGAUGGAUCCGCGCCGCAUUAGCUAGUUGGUAAGGUAACGGCUUACCAAGGCGACGAUGCGUAGCCGACCUGAGAGGGUGAUCGGCCACACUGGAACUGAGACACGGUCCAGACUCCUACGGGAGGCAGCAGUAGGGAAUCUGCCGCAGUGGGCGAAAGCCUGACGGAGCAACGCCGCGUGAGUGAUGGAGGUCUUCGGAUCGUAAAACUCGGUUAUUGGGGAAGAACAAAUGUGUAAGUAACUAUGCACUUCUUGACGGUACCUAGUCAGGAAGCCACGGCUAACUACGUG